rnacentral:pre_miRNA from 1 species
GGCGGGGAGAAGGGGACCCUCAGCCUGGAUUGCGAGAGGGUGCAGGCCAAGCUGAGGGACCCCACUGGUGCACG